GAUGAACGCUGGCGGCGUGCCUAAUACAUGCAAGUCGAGCGAACAGACGAGAAGCUUGCUUCUCUGAUGUUAGCGGCGGACGGGUGAGUAACACGUGGAUAACCUACCUAUAAGACUGGGAUAACUUCGGGAAACCGGAGCUAAUACCGGAUAAUAUUUUGAACCGCAUGGUUCAAUAGUGAAAGACGGUUUUGCUGUCACUUAUAGAUGGAUCCGCGCUGCAUUAGCUAGUUGGUAAGGUAACGGCUUACCAAGGCAACGAUGCAUAGCCGACCUGAGAGGGUGAUCGGCCACACUGGAACUGAGACACGGUCCAGACUCCUACGGGAGGCAGCAGUAGGGAAUCUUCCGCAAUGGGCGAAAGCCUGACGGAGCAACGCCGCGUGAGUGAUGAAGGUCUUCGGAUCGUAAAACUCUGUUAUUAGGGAAGAACAUAUGUGUAAGUAACUAUGCACAUCUUGACGGUACCUAAUCAGAAAGCCACGGCUAACUACGUG
rnacentral:rRNA from 1 species